UAGGGAAUCUUGGACAAUGGGCGCAAGCCUGAUCCAGCCAUGCCGCGUGAGUGAUGAAGGUCUUCGGAUUGUAAAACUCUUUUCUCGGGGGCGAACAACUUCGGGAGGCAAUGCCCGGGGUAUGACGGUACCCGAGGAAUAAGCAACGGCUAACUCCGUGCCAGCAGCCGCGGUAAUACGGAGGUUGCAAGCGUUGUUCGGAAUGACUGGGCGUAAAGGGAGCGCAGGCGGCUUGUUAAGUCUGGAGUGAAAGCCCGGGGCUCAACCCCGGCGGGUCUUCGGAUACUGGCAAGCUUGAGUACGGAAGAGGAGAGUGGAAUUCCAGGUGUAGCGGUGAAAUGCGUAGAUAUCUGGAGGAACACCGGUGGCGAAAGCGGCUCUCUGGUCCGAUACUGACGCUCAGGCUCGAAAGCGUGGGGAGCAAACGGG
rnacentral:rRNA from 2 species